rnacentral:rRNA from 1 species
GAUGAACGCUGGCGGCGUGCCUAAUACAUGCAAGUCGAGCGAACAGACGAGGAGCUUGCUCCUCUGACGUUAGCGGCGGACGGGUGAGUAACACGUGGAUAACCUACCUAUAAGACUGGGAUAACUUCGGGAAACCGGAGCUAAUACCGGAUAAUAUAUUGAACCGCAUGGUUCAAUAGUGAAAGACGGUUUUGCUGUCACUUAUAGAUGGAUCCGCGCCGCAUUAGCUAGUUGGUAAGGUAACGGCUUACCAAGGCAACGAUGCGUAGCCGACCUGAGAGGGGGGUCGCCCCCACGGAAACGGAGACCCGGCCCAGCCCCCCGCGGGGGGGAGCAGUGGGGAGUCUUCCCAAAUGGGGUAAUUCUUGACGGACCACCGCCGCGGGGGUGAUGAAGUUUUUCGGAUCUUAAACCUCUUUUAUUGGGAAAAAAAAAAUGUGUAAUAAAUUAGCCACGUCUUGCCGGUCCCUAACAAGAAGCCCCCGGCUAACUCCGGG